GGUUUCCACCGUGAAGCAUGGAGGAGGUGGUGUGAUGACGUGGGGGUGCUUUGCUGGUGACACUGUCUGUAAUUUGUUUCGAAUUCAAGAGUAGGUGAACCGAUGCAUGUGUGGUUCCCACCGUGAAGCAUGGAGGAGGUGGUGUGAUGACGUGGGGGUGCUUUGCUGGUGACACUGUCUGUAAUUUGUUUAGAAUUCAAGAGUAGGUGAACCGAUGCAUGUGUGGUUCCCACCGUGAAGCAUGGAGGAGGUGGUGUGAUGACGUGGGGGUGCUUUGCUGGUGACACUGUCUGUAAUUUGUUUCGAAUUCAAGAGUAGAUGAACCGAUGCAUGUGUGGUUCCCACCGUGAAGCAUGGAGGAGGUGGUGUGAUGACUUGGGGGUGCUUUGCUGGUGACACUUCAAGGCAAUGCAAGGCAUUCUGCAGCGAUACAUCCCAUCUGGUUUGCACUGAGUGGAACUAUAAUUUGUUUUUUUUAACAGGACAAUGACCCAACACAUCCCCAGUCUGUGUAAGGGCUAUUUGACCAAGAAGGAGAGUGAUGGAGGGCUGCAUCAGAUGACCUGGCCUCCGCAA